rnacentral:SRP_RNA from 1 species
GCGGUGGCGCGGUGGCGCGUGCCUGUAGUCCCAGCUACUCGGGAGGCUGAGGUGGGAGGAUCACUUGAGCCCAGGAGUUCUGGGCUGUAGUGUGCUAUGCCGAUCGGGUGUCUGCACUAAGUUCGGCAUCAAUAUGGUGACCUCCCGGGAGCGGGGGACCACCAGGUUGCCUAAGGAGGGAUAAACUGGCCCAGGUCGGAAACGGAGCAGGUCAAAACUCCCAUGCUGAUCAGUAGUGGGAUUGUGCCUAUGAAUAGCCACUGCACUCCAGCCUGGGCAACAUAGCGAGACCCUGUCUCU